UGGACGUGCCAUGUCCACGCCCCGGAUCCGAACUGGAGAAACCACAGGCCACCAAAAAGGAGCGCGCGAACUUAACCACUCGGCCAGGGGGCCAGCCCCCAUUUUUCUUUUUGAUGGCGGCCCCCAGGACUCCUGCUCCUGUCGCGUCACGCAGUCGGCUGCCUGUUGUGAUCCUGGAAACCCGCUUAGUUCAGUCCAUUGAUGUGAAUUUCUGGGAGCAAUUUGGCCACUUUGUUUCUUAUUUUUCCAGCCCUUUCCUUAACACUUUCUAUUCGCAAAAUAUUUGCUUAAAGCAAUAGUGUCAAUCAUUAAUGUUCCUAAGUAUUCCACAGUGAGCUUGCUAGAAAUACCAGGCCCUCUUCUCUGUCUUUAGAUUCUGAUCUAAUAAGAUCAGAUCGAAUAGUAGAGUGCUAGUGAUACUGAUGAAGGAAGUCCAAGGGUUGCACUUCGGGGAAAAAUGGCUUACAUGUAUGAGGGGUGGAGGUAAUGAAGGAUAGCCCUCAAUCCUGCCUGCUCUCUUGCUCUGUUGGGGAAGCCUCAGUGGAAUGUAGGAAGUUUGCCCAUGCCUUGUACAAUGGAUGGAAUACUACUCAGCAAUAAAAAGGGACUGACUGCUGAUACCCAGAACAGGGAUGAAUCUCAGAAGAACUCGACCGAGUGAAAGAAGUCACACAUAAGAGUGCAGACGAUAGAAACGGGAUCAGCGGUUAUUUGUGGGAGCGAGGGGGAUUGACUGGGAGGGGAUUUGAGGCAACUCUGGUGAUACAAAUGUCUGUGUCUUGAUUGACAAGGGUGUGCAUUACAGGAGUAUAUGCCUUUGUCAAAAUCUAUCCAACUGUACGUUUACGAUCUGUGCUUUUCAUUGUAUACAAACUAUCUUAAAUGUUUUAACUUGACUAUACCCGUUUUGGGUAACGAUAAAAUUAUUUUUACCAAUUUUUUUUUAUCAAUUUGUAUCCCUUAAAAGCAUGCAAAAGGCAAAACAAAACCUGUUGAGAUAGAAAGUGAUCUAACAAAGUAUUGCA
rnacentral:lncRNA from 1 species